rnacentral:lncRNA from 1 species
ACUCAUUGCAAUACGUUAGCUCUGAAAAAAACAGGUAUUAUCUUGGAACAUACAAAUGGAAGUAUAUAACAUUAAUUUCAUGAUAGCAUAUUCAGAUAGACGGUUUUUGAAAUAAAUAUUUCACAUGAAAUAAAUAAAAAUCAUAGAUUGUAGCUAGUUAUGUAAAAGAAUCAUCUAUAUAUAGUCAUAGGAAUAUAGAAGCUCUGCACACAAAAUGCUCUCAACAUAAAAUGUCGGUAAAAAAACAGAAAGAAAUUAACAACUGGACGAAACUGGAGAUUUUAGUAGACGAAACUAGAAAAUUAGGGUUACGGUAUAGAUUCGAAGGGGUGAUCAUGUAAAAAACCCUUACCAAUACGCAAAUCCACCCAAACAAAUGACGACGACGGGAAUCGGUCUCACAUGACACGGAUUACAAAUCAGACCUGCGAGAUGAUCACAUGAGGUCUGGGAAACAAUGACUGUGAAACGAGGGAAUGAGACGGGAGAACGAAAAUCAAAACAAUUUUUCUUCAUUGCUACAGUAGCAAUCGACCGAACAAUGUGGUACGGCGGGCACGUACGGGGAACAAUACGAGGGAUGGCUGAGGGGACAUAAUUCGUACCAGAAUUCAGAGGGAGGGA